GAUGAACGCUGGCGGCGCGCCUAACACAUGCCAGUCGAACGAUUAAAGCACCUUCGGGUGUGUAUAAAGUGGCGAACGGCUGAGUAACACGUGGGCAACCUGCCCCUUUCAUUGGGAUAGCCACGGGAAACCGUGGAUAAUACCGAAUACUUCGAGACUUCCGCAUGGAAGACUCGAGAAAGCUCCGGCGGAGAGGGAUGGGCCCGCGGCCUGUUAGCUUGUUAGUGGGGUAACGGCCUACGAAGGCAAUGAUGGGUAGCUGGGUUUAGAGACCGACCAGCCAGAUUGGGACUGAGACACGGCCCAGACUCCUACGGGAGGCAGCAGUGGGGAAUCUUGCACAAUGGGCGAAAGCCUGAUGCAGCGACGCCGCGUGCGGGAUGAAGGCCUUCGGGUUGUAAACCGCUUUCAGCAGGGACGAGGCGAAAGUGACGGUACCUGCAGAAGAAGCCCCGGCUAACUACGUG
rnacentral:rRNA from 1 species